GACAAUCACCCACACACUUAAAAGAAACCCCUAUCCCUUUCAUUUUUUUUAUUUACUACUUAUACACACACAAUAAUGAAGCCUACCUCUCAUCUCUCUCUUGAUUAUACAUACGGGUAACAAGCACACACACACCAAACUUCAUCUACACAAAUCAUCAUACUCCCUCAUUACACUUUUGAUUCCACACACAGACAAUAACAUCCACAGCCACUCGACACCCUCCUUCACCCCUCUACCGAGCUCCGGCCGACGUUCCACCUGCAACAACCCCCCCCCUCGUCGGCAAAUAGGACCACCACCACCGUGCGGUGGUGGUGAACGGCGGCAGCGGAACUAGAAGAGAGAGAGACUGAGCAGAAGAGAGAGAAACCGAGAGAAAGAGGGAGAACCGGCGGUCGGAGGUUCGGACCUCCGAUCGGGUCGUUUAUCCGGUCGGUUCACUUUUCCGGUCGGUUCGUUUAUCCGGUGAUUGGUCCGACGAGCUUCGAUUCAGGUGGUGGCAUUCACGACAUCAGGAGCGGCAAAGGUUGCUGUUGGCGGCGACGGUGGUGGUGACCGACGGUCCUUGUCUCGGAUCGGCGCUCCUUGCUUCGGUCCGUCGGAUUUCAACAAUUCAAGCAUGAUUCGAAUUAUGUUUCGGGUUAGACGGUUCAGAUUUGGUUCGAGUUAUAGCAGCUUUGGCCCAGUCAAAGGCGGUCAACAGGAAGCCGGUUCGAUUCGGGUCAGUCGCGGUCAACCCAGAUGAAACUCAGUUAACCCAGUUAACUUGGUUGACUCGGUCAACUCAGCGAGUCAACUGGCCAACUCGGUCCGCGAAAACGACACGGAGAUUCGGAAUAUUGUAGAAUGCACGCUAGCAAGUCUCGUCUUGGAAACGACAUCACGAAGUCGUAUUUAGCUAGCUUUGCACAGGAAUAUUCAGGUUACUUUUCAGAAAUCAUGGCACGGUUGGAAUAGGAGGACCAUGAAGAGUCGAGUACUUAGUGGCGUUCAAUUUCUAGAAGUCUUAGCUUUAUUUGCUUCCGCUGUGCAAUGAAGAUAUCAGUCCAGUCACGCCAAUGCUCUGAUAAUUUCGGGGUGUGACAAAAACAAGAGGCGGAAACUAAUGUUUUGGUGCAAUCUCAGCCGUAUUCACUUUUAACUGUUGUUUUAUUGAUCAAUAAUGCGUUUACAAGCCUGACAACACUUCGGCAGCACUUCGUGGCAACCGGAAUGACUAUGACCUAGAACUAUGACUGAUUUCGCUCCUAAGACAUCACUAUAUAUAGGUGUCCUGAUUCCGCUCCAAUAUGUACAAGCGGAAUCUCAUUACAAGCGGAAUCAGAUGUUUACAUUUCGGGCGAAAUCAGCAAUACAAACACUUUCGGGCGGAAUCACCUACUAAAAACACUUUCUAGGAUUCCGUGCCCUGUUCUAGCCUAUUCGACGCAAGACUCGAUACAAGACGCAGGCGACAGACGGAUGCACCAACAAACUCCCCCUCGGAUGUUGACGUAGUCUUUAGUGUCGAGUCUUCGAUUGUCAACCUUCAGUCUUUAUCAGUCUUUAUCACCAAUAAACUCCUCUUCCUCAAAUGUUGAAUCUUUAAACUUCAUCAGCAUCAACAAUUCCAGGAUCAGCACUGGCUCUAACUGCUUCCUCAACUUUGCCUUCAGACUCCCCCUCUCAAUUUGCUGGGAUCGUAGUCUGGAAAUCUCAAAUUCAUGAUUCAUUCCUAGAUCUUGACCUGGCUCUCUUCCAGCUCAGGUUAUCUGUACAAUCUCUACCCAAUACAUAAGUUUCAAAAUGAUUAAAUCUUUAAAAUUUAGAAACUAUUUUAGAAAAUAUACAAAAUGAUUUGUUCUUUGAAAACCACUUGUAAACAUAACAUUUUCAUACAUUUUCUCUCCUAAACCUUUUCUUCAUGUUUGGCACUUGGAAUUUCGAAAAUCAGCUUUUCAACACCAGUUGUCGAAAAUCUUUUUGGAUUUUUCAAAAUUUAUGCUAAAACACACUAAAAUCUUUUUGGAUUUUUGAAUAAAAGAAAAUGCAUAAAUGAAAUAUUUACAGACAAUAUUUUUGUGAGUUCGUGCAAGAGGAUCAUAUCAGUUUUUGAGACAUAUCACUAACACCGUUAUGCUUGAUUUCAUUUUAAGUUCUAAACAAUUUACCUAGAUUGUCAGUAUGUUUGUCCACUUAAAUUUUCACACAAAGUUCAACUGUUUCGAGAUACGCUAUUAGUGUCUUAAUUACUUAAACUUAUUCGUGUGUCCCACCACUUGAAUAUACUCCCGUAUCCAGAUCCCAAUAUUCAGUCUUACAGGUGAGUAUACCACAGAUGAUAUCUGUAAAGGGGUUAAAUUGCGAGGGCCGUAAGAGCUCAGGUCGAUACUUCCGUAUACGCAAAGAGAUGACGACUUCGACUUUUGGUGUGUCCCCUUUAGAGGAUCUUUUCUUCAACAGCAAUGAUUAUCAAUUUUAUUGUUUAAUCAUUUUUGCUGAGGGCUUUUGCUGUGUUUCAAGCAAUUUGCAGAAAGCAUUAUACGGGGACUAGGUCAGAAUUUCCAUUCAGCAGAAGUCCCGGUAUAAUACCCCAGAUAUCACUGAGUAUAAAGACCUAGUAUCUCAGAAUAAGGGACCUUUCAAACAAGAUUUCAGGGGUUACCUAUAUAUUUAAGAAGUUGUUACCCACAGAAUAAGCAAGUUUGAAUUUUUAGAUUUAUAUCUCGUCACAAUCUACUAAAUGUGUAAAAACCUACUGACACAUCCACUGUGAGAUUGUUUAUCACAUUUUGACUUUACAUUUCUUUAGCGUGUUGUGAUAGUCCACUGAUGUACUAUCAUUUCCUCUUUUAUGCAACAAAAACUCAUUUUUCAUUUUAUUAUGUUUUUGGCUUUUUUGAACUUUUUAAUGUUUUUGGAUUUUCUGAAAAUUUCUUACUCCCCAUAAAAUUCGAAAACAUUUAAAGAAAUUGAAAACAAACUAUACAGAACAUGACAACUGAUAUGAAUCGCCUCAAUUCUCCACCCACUUGGCAUAAACAAUCAGAACUCCCCCUCACAACAAACUAUUUUCCCAUUAAGAUUUCAAAACAUUUAAGUUUGUUUUAAUCAGAAUGGUUUUUCCAGAAAAUAAGUUUAAUUAUCAACCACUUGUAGGUUAUGGGGUCAUUUCAUCACAUUGUUUCCCAAAACUUUUAAAUGACAGUUAAAUGAAGUUCAACUUAAUGACCUUGAUUAACCACUUAUAGGAUCAAAAACCAAACACCCGCCACAAACCUUUUCAACCAAUUAUCAUCUGUUGGUUGAAUUCUCAAGGUGCCGAUUCCUACUCCACACUUACCAACCUGGGAGUUCCGGCAAUUCACAUUUCUCAAAACAAAUUUUCAAAACAAUUUAGAAUGAUGCCGAUUCAUGCUCCGCGAUUACCAACUUGGGAGCUCCGGCAAGUCAGGUUUCUAUUCAACAAAGAAUAUGUCCACCCAAGCCUGACCAGCCUUGGGUGUAACCUUUCUAGUCUCAUUUGGGGUUACAUCUUUCCUUUUAGCUUGAUAAAACUCUUUUACCCCUUCAGCCUUCCCCUCAAUCAUUUUACCAAAAAUGUUUUUCACAGCAGGGUUAAAGGCUUUUUCAACAUCUAAUUCUUUCUUUUUAGGAAAGAAUUGAUUUGAAAUUUCAACUUUUCUGAUUUUAGAUUUGAAGUUUUUAGCACUCAGUGGUGGAAAAUUCACAUCAUCCACUAUCGGAACUUUCUUCUCAUCUUUCACAACAACCUGCGGCUCCUCUGUCUUUGUGGAGACAGAUUCAUCACCAGAACUGUUUCCUGAACCUUCACAACCCAUUUUUGAUUUUUCAAAUUAUCUUUUCUUUUUAAGACAUUCUUUGAACAUUCUCCCACUUCAAAGGUUGAAUUUUCAAAGCCUGUAAAAUUUUUGGUUGUAAGUUCAGUUUUUUCAACCAUUUUCUCUUUCAGUUUACCAGAGACUUCCUGUUUUGGUUUGAAUGUUUUAGGACAGUUUCUAGCAAUGUACCCAGCUGUUUUGCACUGAUAACAGGUUCUUGUUUCUGUCUUUUUCUAAACAACAUUCUUCUUCAUCUCUUGUUGCUUCUUGGCAAGGAACUCUUGAUUCGUUUGCUUUCUGAAUGCUUGUUCUUUCUCAGCCUCUGUCGUUUUACCUGAAACAAACACAAUUUUUGGUUUAUAAACUUUUUCAUUUUUAUGAUUUUUUGUUUGAUUAAAUCCAAGACCUUUCUUUUUGAAAUUACGAUUAUGGUUUGGAUUCUUUUGGAAACUAUAACCACAAUUAUAACCCAUUUUCUUGUUAAUUCUUUGUUGGUCUCUUGAAGUGUAUUGUUUAGGUUUUCCAGAAAGAUUUAAAUCUUUUAUUUCAGAAAUAUUAAUUUCUGUAAUUUUGAAAACCUUUUUAAUCAUAUCAAAUCUAACACUUCUUAUUGGAAAAGUUUCAUCAGAAUAUAAUUUGUCAGAAUAUUUCAAAGUAUAUGCAACUUUGACCGGUUCGUCAUUCAAAUUAGAUUUUGAUAGCAUAAAUUCUUUAUCAUAAACCCGUUUGUCCUUUUUGAUUGUUGGCAUUGACGUAUCGGACUCAGACUUUGACUCGGGUUUGGACUCCAUUUUUGACUCCUCAUUGUCAUCUUUAUCCAACACCUGAUCGACCACACUUUUUAUCAAUUUGGGCUCAUGAUCAGUGUCGGACGACGUGUAUGUGACAUCAAUAUUUUAUGGCAAGUUAUCUGAUGGCCCAGACUCCCAUUGUAAGUUAAUUGCCUUUUUGACUCUUUCGGAAUUUGGAUUUCGAGGCGAAUAUCCAUUUUCGACCGGGGGCGGACAUCUAUUGUAGACCGCACUUGGUUUCUUACCAGAAAUUUUCACUUCAUCCUCGUCUUUUGUCACAUAUUUCUUUUCUUCCGAAGUCUUUACUUCUUCAAAUGUCUUCAAGCUCUCCACAAUUGGAUAGAUCCUGUCAACAACAAAAGUAGAACAUGAGUAACUUUCUAAUAAAUUGUUGACUCUUUCAGUUUCUAUUCUUUGUGUUGCCAGCUUCAAUUCCAGAUCAGCACAUUUCUUUGUGUAAAAGUUGACAUCAUCAAGCUGUCUCAUGUAAGCUCCUUUGAGUGUAUUCAUUGCUACAGCUUGUUCGCAGUUUGACUCAGUAUACUUGUUGAUCUCUCUGUUCAUUGUAUCAUAUGAUUCUUUUAAUCUGUUAAUAUUGUGCAACAGUUCAUUGUUUUGCUUGAUCAACGAAUCACAAUUCAAACACUUUUCAGAAACUUUGACUGCUUCCGUAUCAACUUUGAUUUUGUGACACCCCAGGAAAACCAGUGAACAAUACAACUUACCUAGCUUCCUCAGUGAGUGCAUACCAAAUUUCGGGACGAAAUUUUUUUCUAGUUGGGGAUAAUGUGACAACUCGUAAUUCCGAACCUAUCCUUGUGUAAUAAUUGUGAACAUGACAUGACUUAUGAACUUGAAUGAUUAUAUGAAUGUUAUGUUGUAUGUGUUAUGU
rnacentral:lncRNA from 1 species